AAAACCGGAAGGUUUUUCUACG
rnacentral:rRNA from 1 species